UACGUAGGGUGCGAGCGUUAAUCGGAAUUACUGGGCGUAAAGCGUGCGCAGGCGGUUCGUUGUGUCGGUGGUGAAAGCCCCGGGCUUAACCUGGGAAUGGCCAUGGAAACUGGCGGACUCGAGUCUCGGAGAGGAAGGUGGAAUUCCUGGUGUAGCGGUGAAAUGCGUAGAUAUCAGGAGGAAUACCGGUGGCGAAGGCGGCCUUCUGGACGAUGACUGACGCUGAGACGCGAAAGCGUGGGGAGCAAACAGG
rnacentral:rRNA from 1 species